UUCUAGCCCCGAUAGUAGCGGUUACCCCGGAACAUGAGUUGGAGGGUGUAGGAUAGGGUGGGGAAGGUAUUGGGGUGAGGAGUAUGAACGUAUAGCGGGAAAUAGC
rnacentral:misc_RNA from 1 species